GGACAGGUGCCGUUGGCUUAAUAGAGAAACCGGUGGGAUGCCGGUACGGUCACGCCACUGUAUUGCGGAAGAGCCUUACGAUGUGCCACUGGGAGGAUUCCCGGGAAGGCGUGGGGCUUUGAUGAUGCAGAGUCAGGAGAACUGCCUGUCCG
rnacentral:ncRNA from 1 species